rnacentral:misc_RNA from 1 species
GAUGAAGAACGUAGCGAAAUGCGAUAAGUAAUGUGAAUUGCAGAAUUCAGUGAAUCAUCGAAUCUUUGAACGCACAUUGCGCCCCCUGGUAUUCCGGGGGGCAUGCCUGUUCGAGCGUCAUUUCACCACUCAAGCCUCGCUUGGUAUUGGGCAACGCGGUCCGCCGCGUGCCUCAAAUCGACCGGCUGGGUCUUCUGUCCCCUAAGCGUUGUGGAAACUAUUCGCUAAAGGGUGUUCGGGAGGCUACGCCGGAAAACAACCCCAUUUCUAAGGUUGACCUCGGAUCAGGUAGGGAUACCCGCUGAACUUAAGCAUAUCAAUAAGCGGAGGA